UGAACGCUGGCGGAAUGCUUUACACAUGCAAGUCGAACGGCAGCACGGAGAGCUUGCUCUCUGGUGGCGAGUGGCGGAACGGGUGAGUAAUAUAUCGGAACGUGCCCUAGAGUGGGGGAUAACUAGUCGAAAGAUUAGCUAAUACCGCAUACGAUCUAAGGAUGAAAGUGGGGGAUCGCAAGACCUCAUGCUCGUGGAGCGGCCGAUAUCUGAUUAGCUAGUUGGUGGGGUAAAAGCCCACCAAGGCGACGAUCAGUAGCUGGUCUGAGAGGACGAUCAGCCACACUGGGACUGAGACACGGCCCAGACUCCUACGGGAGGCAGCAGUGGGGAAUUUUUGGACAAUGGGGGCAACCCUGAUCCAGCAAUGCCGCGUGUGCGAAGAAGGCCCUCGGGUUGUAAAGCACUUUUGUCAGGGAAGAAAUCUUUCAGGCUAAUACCCUUGGAAGGAUGACGGUACCUGAAGAAUAAGCACCGGCUAA
rnacentral:rRNA from 1 species